rnacentral:rRNA from 1 species
CCUACGGGAGGCAGCAGUGGGGAAUAUUCGGCAAUGGGCGCAAGCCUGACCCAGCAACGCCGCGUGCAGGAAGAAGGCUUUCGGGUUGUAAACUUCUUUUCUGGGGGACGAACAAAUGACGGUACCCCAGGAAUAAGCCACGGCUAACUACGUGCCAGCAGCCGCGGUAAUACGUAGGUGGCAAGCGUUAUCCGGCUUUAUUGGGGGUAAAGGGCGUGUAGGCGGGAAUGCAAGUCAGAUGUGAAAACUAUGGGCUCAACCCAUAGCCUGCAUUUGAAACUGUAUUUCUUGAGUGCUGGAGAGGCAAUCGGAAUUCCGUGUGUAGCGGUGAAAUGCGUAGAGAUACGGAGGAACACCAGUGGCGAAGGCGGAUUGCUGGACAGUAACUGACGCUGAGGCGCGAAAGCGUGGGGAGCAAACAGGAUUAGAUACCCCUGUAGUC